rnacentral:rRNA from 1 species
AGUGAACGCUGGCGGUAGGCCUAACACAUGCAAGUCGAACGGCAGCACAGUAAGAGCUUGCUCUUACGGGUGGCGAGUGGCGGACGGGUGAGGAAUACAUCGGAAUCUACUUUUUCGUGGGGGAUAACGUAGGGAAACUUACGCUAAUACCGCAUACGACCUACGGGUGAAAGCAGGGGAUCUUCGGACCUUGCGCGAUUGAAUGAGCCGAUGUCGGAUUAGCUAGUUGGCGGGGUAAAGGCCCACCAAGGCGACGAUCCGUAGCUGGUCUGAGAGGAUGAUCAGCCACACUGGAACUGAGACACGGUCCAGACUCCUACGGGAGGCGGAAGUGGGGAAUAUUGGACAAAGGGCGCAAGCCUGAUCCAGCCAUACCGCGUGGGUGAAGAAGGCCUGCGGGUUGUAAAGCCCUUUUGUUGUGAAAGAAAAGCAGCAGGUUAAUACCCCGCUGUUCUGACGGUACCCAAAGAAUAAGCACCGGCUAACUUCGU